UAAGGUCACGGCGAGACGAGCCGUUUAUCAUUACGAUAGGUGUCAAGUGGAAGUGCAGUGAUGUAUGCAGCUGAGGCAUCCUAACAGACCGAGAGAUUUGAAC
rnacentral:rRNA from 2043 species